rnacentral:rRNA from 1 species
UAACGAAUCUUCCGCAAUGCACGAAAGUGUGACGGAGCGACGCCGCGUGGAGGACGAAGUUCUUCGGAAUGUAAACUCCUGUCAGGGGAAAGAAAGUUCUGAUCUACCCCAGAGGAAGAGGCGGCUAACUCUGUGCCAGCAGCCGCGGUAAUACAGAGGCCUCGAGCGUUAGACGGAAUCACUGGGCUUAAAGCGUGUGUAGGCGGAAGGGUAAGUACCUUGUGAAAUCCCACGGCUUAACCGUGGAACGGCUUGGUAUACUGCUUUUCUUGAGCAAUCUAGGGGCGAGUGGAACAGAUGGUGGAGCGGUGAAAUGCGUAGAUAUCAUCUGGAACGCCAAUGGUGAAGACAACUCGCUGGGGAUUUGCUGACGCUGAGACACGAAAGCCAGGGGAGCGAACGGGAUUAGAUACCCCAGUAGUCCCUGAGCGGGCUGGCAAGGCGCAU